UACAGAGGGGCAAGCGUUGUUCGGAAUUACUGGCGUAAAGGGCGCGUAGGCGGCCUUCUAAGUCGAACGUGAAAUCCCUGGCUCAACCCAGGAACUGCGUCCGAUACUGGAAGGCUUGAAUCCGGAGAGGUGAGUGGAACUGCGAGUGUAGAGGUGAAAUUCGUAGAUAUUCGCAAGAACACCAGUGGCGAAGGCGGCUCACUGGCUCGGUACUGACGCUG
rnacentral:rRNA from 1 species